rnacentral:lncRNA from 1 species
GGAAUACAAUAUAAUUUCAAAACUUCGGAGUCUAUGAAGUUCGGCUCUCCGCCGGAGGUUGGCUCUUGCCAGGAGUACAAGCCCCGACAUCCCGACUUGGUCCCAACGCCUCGUUGGGAAUCUACGGCUCUACGACGAAUCUACGACUCGAUCGCCAAACCAAUGGCCUUCACCUCUAAAGGCCAAAGGCUUCGACUAACGCAGCUGGCUAACUUGCCCACUUAGCUUCGACUAAGAAAGGCAAAACGUCAGGACGAUC